AAAGCCUUCAAAAAAAAAAAUAAAAAAAUCAUAGUAAUUAAUUCAAGACCGCCUUCAUCUAGUAUAUUCAGUAGAUUU